AGCCGUAUCACGUCCGGACACCGGUUCUCGUACGAUAACCGAAGUUAAGCAAUGUCGAGCCUGGUACGUACUUAGAUGGGUGACUCUUUGGGAAUAUCAGAUGCAGUAAG